rnacentral:rRNA from 1 species
UACGGAGGGUGCGAGCGUUGUCCGGAAUCACUGGGCGUAAAGGCGCGUAGGCGGCCUGAUAAGUAGGGGUGAAAUCCUGCGGCUUAACCGCAGGGCUGCCUUCUAAACUGUCAGGCUCGAGCACAGUAGAGGCAGGUGGAAUUCCCGGUGUAGCGGUGGAAUGCGUAGAGAUCGGGAAGAACAUCAGUGGCGAAGGCGGCCUGGCUGGGCUGUUGCUGACGCUGAGGCGCGACAGCGUGGGAGCAAACAGG